AGUGAACGCUGGCGGUAGGCCUAACACAUGCAAGUCGAACGGCAGCACAGUAAGAGCUUGCUCUUACGGGUGGCGAGUGGCGGACGGGUGAGGAAUACAUCGGAAUCUACCUUUUCGUGGGGGAUAACGUAGGGAAACUUACGCUAAUACCGCAUACGACCUACGGGUGAAAGCAGGGGAUCAUCGGACCUUGCGCGAUUGAAUGAGCCGAUGUCGGAUUAGCUAGUUGGCGGGGUAAAGGCCCACCAAGGCGACGAUCCGUAGCUGGUCUGAGAGGAUGAUCAGCCACACUGGAACUGAGACACGGUCCAGACUCCUACGGGAGGCAGCAGUGGGGAAUAUUGGACAAUGGGCGCAAGCCUGAUCCAGCCAUACCGCGUGGGUGAAGAAGGCCUUCGGGUUGUAAAGCCCUUUUGUUGGGAAAGAAAAGCAGCAGGUUAAUACCCCGCUGUUCUGACGGUACCCAAAGAAUAAGCACCGGCUAACUUCGUG
rnacentral:rRNA from 1 species